UCCUGGUUAACCCAGGCAGUCUCGUUAGAGUUCCCAUCCGAAAUGUUGGCAACUAACGAUAAGGGUUGCGCUCGUUGCGGGACUUAACCCAACACCUCACGGCACGAGCUGACGACAGCCAUGCAGCACCUGUGCAGAGGUCCCGAAGGACGGCACCAUCUCUGGUGCUUGCCUCUGCAUGUCAAGCCUGGGUAAGGUUCUUCGCGUUGCAUCGAAUUAAACCACAUGCUCCACUGCUUGUGCGGGUCCCCGUCAAUUCUUUUGAGUUUCACCCUUGCGGGCGUACUUCCCAGGCGGCAUACUUAACGCGUUCGCUACGGCACAACCGGGGUUGAGUCCGGUUACACCAAGUAUGCAUCGUUUACGGCUAGGACUAC
rnacentral:misc_RNA from 1 species